GACGAACGCUGGCGGCGUGCUUAACACAUGCAAGUCGAACGGAAAGGCCCUGCUUUUGUGGGGUGCUCGAGUGGCGAACGGGUGAGUAACACGUGAGUAACCUGCCCUUGACUUUGGGAUAACUUCAGGAAACUGGGGCUAAUACCGGAUAGGAGCUCCUGCUGCAUGGUGGGGGUUGGAAAGUUUCGGCGGUUGGGGAUGGACUCGCGGCUUAUCAGCUUGUUGGUGGGGUAGUGGCUUACCAAGGCUUUGACGGGUAGCCGGCCUGAGAGGGUGACCGGCAACUUUGGGCCUGAGAUAGGGCCAGGACCCCUAGGGGGGGAAGGAGGGGGAAAUAUUGCACAAGGGGGGGAAGCCGGAGGCAGCACCCCCGCGUGGGGGAGGCCGGCUUGGGGGUUGAAAACCGCUUUCGCCGGGGACGAAGGGGGAGUGAGGGAAAGGGGAAAAGAAGCCCCGGCAAACUACGGC
rnacentral:rRNA from 1 species